CUUUGUUUUGUACCAAAGGUAGUGUCUUUGCAGGAAAUCUGUAUUUGUUCUCCCAACCUCCAAAUGGAGGGAGCAGAUGAAAUGAAGGCUCCCAAGAUAUGGGGAGGGUCACUUGCUAGAGGGUGGGCGGAACCAAUGAGAAGUCUGAUUUGCUGUGGUUCAAUGACUUCUUAAAACUCUUUGCAAGGCUGACCUAUUUCUAAUUCCUUGAGCCUAUAGUCUGAAAGGUCAUUAAUCUGGGCUCGGCUCAUGAUGCGGAGGCUUAAGACUUCCAUUUCUUAAAUGCCAAAGGUGUGUCAGAUUGCCUUUCAAAAUGUUGGUAUCUCUAUUCAGGUGUGCAGUGGUUAGUAGCAAGCAGUUUCUUUUCUCAUGGAAACAUUCACCUCACCAAGGAACCACCUGUGUUGUUUUUUGGGCCCUUUGGAUCUUCGCCACGGAUUAAAGAGACAAACCAAUCUCCUAUGCAUGCUUUCUCUUUGUCAAGUCCAGGGACAAACAGGAAGGAAUGUGAAGUGUAAUAGACUCUAUUUCAAGUUCAAAACCUAACUGAAUAUACUUAUCUUGUUCAUUUCCUCUCUUUCACUGUGAUGAAAACUCCAUGGAGGUAGGCAAUUUUGUUUGGUUUUCUUACUGCUACAUCCUCAGUAUCUUGAACUGUGUCUGACUCAGAGUAUGACCUC
rnacentral:lncRNA from 12 species